rnacentral:sRNA from 1 species
UGACCAGAUUUACCACGUUGCAUAGCUA